GUAUACGUAGCUCAGUUAAUGGCGGAGCAUUGGGCUAGUAUUUCAAAGGUCGUAGGUUCGAUUCCCACCGUGGACU
rnacentral:tRNA from 1 species